UACGUAGGAUGCAAGCGUUGUCCGGAAUUAUUGGGCGUAAAGAGCGAGCAGGCGGUUUGGAAAGUUGGACGUGAAAUUUUAGGGCUUAACCCUAAAGGGUCGUCCAAAACUCCCAGACUAGAGUGCAGGAGAGGAAAGCGGAAUUCCCGGUGUAGUGGUGAAAUGCGUAGAUAUCGGGAGGAACACCAGAGGCGAAGGCGGCUUUCAGGCCUGUAACUGACGCUGAGGCGCGAAGGCUGGGGUAGCGAACAGG
rnacentral:rRNA from 1 species